rnacentral:lncRNA from 1 species
UGACUAUGGAUUCGAAAGAUUGCACAAUAUAUGUUUGAUAAAUACAUGACAAAUGGCCAUGAAUCCAAAACAUUGCAUAAUGCUGGUAAAGAAACAUUGCGCUACUGAAUAAAAGAUCUAAUCGGGUUGUUUCCAAAACAAUCCUUUUGGUUUACCACAUAGAUCUUCAAACCACGUCCUACACCUAGACUGAAUAAGCUUCCUAAACUUAAUUCAUUUAUGCUGAAAGAUCAAAUCGGUUUGUUUCCAAAACAAUCGUUUUGGUUUACCACAUAGAUCUUCAAACCACAUCCUACACCUAGACUGAAUAUGAUUCCUAAACUACAUUUAUGUACAUGUAUAACUACCUGACGGCACCACAUGUAGAUGUGAUUGAGG